AUGACCUGUUUCUCACCUCGCCUCCGCCUUGCACAAGGCAGUCUCCGCAGAUCGGAUACCAGGCUUGACGGUCAGCCUGCAGCCUCCGGCAGGAGACGCCGGUGCCCAGCAACGAGGCCUCCGCUGUGUCCCCGCCUUCGCUGCAGACACUGGACGGACUCUCCGUCCACCGGCGUCCCUCUGUCUCACUCUCCGUCCCCCGUGACUCUCCCCGUCUCCUGCGGCGGGUUGGGGAGACGCCUCCCCCAGGGGCGCACGUCCGGCACCCUCGCGCCAGUGGCCUCCUUGCUGAGCGUCUCCGCAGUGGACCUGGAGCCACGGGGCGCGCUGACCGCCUGCCCCGCGCGGCCGCCCUCGGGUUCUCCUCGCGCCCUUCGGUCCCGGGUGCUGCUGGAACUCAAGCUCAGGGCGAUGACCCUAACCCUCCGGUUCCUCCCCGCAGCUGAGAGGCGUCUGCGUGCAGAGGCGUCCGACCCGCUGUUCCCUCCGCCUCGGCCCGGCGUCGGGGGACCUGGGCGCCUCCUCUCGCGGGGAUGGGCUCCCCGCCGCGCUCCAGGUGAAGGCCCCUCAUCCCCGCAGCCCAUGGGCCCUCCAGGCGCGGGCUUCCUGAGGCCGCCUCGCCGCUCCCCGUCCUCGGCCCGGAGCCUCCGAGGCCUCCCGCCGUCUGUCGCGGUCAGCCUGGGGCCCUCGCCCGGGGCGGGCGGCCUCGAGGGUCCCCAGACCUGCCCGGGACGGCAGGUCCCCCAGCGCGGCGUCUGCCCCGGCCCGAGCCCGCCUCGGCCCAGCACCCCGGGAAGAAGGGCGGCCCGGUGCCCCUCCUGCCCUGUUCGUGGCCGCAGGCCUCUAGGAGGCAAAGUCCACAGGCAUCCCUCUGCGCAGAGUGAGGCGGGCGGCGGGGCAGCACGGAGCCCCGCUCCCGCCGCCCACCCGCCGGGGCGCUCCGGGUCCCUCCGGCGCCUCCCCGCCUGCCUGCCGGGGUCACGGGCGGUUUCCUUGUCCUUUCAGCCCCGUCUCUCCUGGAGAAGAGUCUGCGUGCAGAGGCGUCCGACCCGCUGUUCCCUCCGCCUCGGCCCGGCGUCGGGGGACCUGGGCGCCUCCUCUCGCGGGGAUGGGCUCCCCGCCGCGCUCCAGGUGAAGGCCCCUCAUCCCCGCAGCCCAUGGGCCCUCCAGGCGCGGGCUUCCUGA
rnacentral:lncRNA from 1 species